UACAGAGGGGGCAAGCGUUGUUCGGAAUUACUGGGCGUAAAGGGCGCGUAGGCGGCCUUCUAAGUCGAACGUGAAAUCCCCGGGCUCAACCCGGGAACUGCGUCCGAUACUGGAAGGCUUGAAUCCGGGAGAGGGAUGCGGAAUUCCAGGUGUAGCGGUGAAAUUCGUAGAUAUUCGGAAGAACACCAGUGGCGAAGGCGGCUCACUGGCCCGUUACCGACGCUCAGGCGCCGACAGCGUGGGGAGCAAACAGG
rnacentral:rRNA from 1 species